UUUUUUUUUUUAAAGCCGUGUUGUUUGUGAAAAAAAUGUCUGCCGAACUACCAACAAAUAGCUUCACGGCUGAGGCACCACCCGCAGCAUUAUCGAGCGCCUCUUCUACCACAUGGACAACGGGUCAAAAGGAGGAAAAGAGUCACCACGCAUGACCAUUUCAACAAGGACGGAAUACACCACCAAACCCCCCAAACUUGUUUUUAUUGAGGACCACGUUGUGGUUACGGCUGUUCUCCAAAGGCCGUUUGUUACAGUGAAUAUAUAUGAAUAUUAUUAUUGUAUAAUCUCAUGAUAUUAUUACACAAACUGAUGUAAAAUGUACUUGCUAUUGAAAUAUAGAGGUGUCCAAACUUUUUCACCAAGGGUCGCAUCCUAAAAAGUUGAAGACUGCAGGGGCCUUUUUGAUGAUUUUUUCCAUCCAUCCAUUUUCUAUCGCUUAGUCCCUUUGGGGUCGUGGGGGCGCUGGUGCCUAUCUCAGCUACAACCGGGCGGAAGGCGGUGUACACCCUGGACAAGUCGCCAAUUUUUUAUUUUAUAAAAAGAAACGCUAAAAAACACAUAUGACAUAUCUAAAUUCUUAAUGUCAGCUUUGUGUUGUAAAUCAGUUGUCCCCAACCUUUUUGUAGCUGCGGACCGGUCAACACUUGAUAAUUUGUCCUGCGGCUUUGUCAUGAAAAAGGGAGGUUUUUAGGUUGGUGCACUGAUUGUAAGUGUAUCUUGUGUUUUUUAUGUUGAUUUAAUAAAAAAAUUUAAAUAAACUGUUGUAAAUGACAAAA